GAAGGGAAGUGAUAUACAGUGGGACUUAGAAAAAUUUUAGCUGUUUCGUUCGUGUACGGAUCUCUAAGAGACGUGGGAGUUGUUGAAUUCAAAUGGAAUACAUUACUAUCAAGGGUACAACAAAAAAAAAAGAAAAUCACGACGGCGACGUCAUUGUGGAGACCGACGGGUGGUGGCUCGCGGCGACCCGUCUUCUUGUAGUGCUGCUCGGCGCCAUCGUCGGAUCAGCAGGUCGAUCCUUCUGUGCCGCCAAUGCAGGAACUCCCGAGAAUCGGUGCUGGGAGCCGGUGAGUCGCGGUCGAUGUCUGGAUGAUGUUGAGGUUCGCUCGUUGGUGUGGCAGGAGUUUGUGCUGGCAUCCCAGCUCUUGCCCCGGGGACGGUAAUUAGCAAGAUGUCUCGUCCGCUUCCGUCUGGAACAAGGACGAGCGUGUGGUCUGUCUGAACGCUGGUUGUCAAGUUGCCGAGCAACGUGUUGUGUUUUCAAUAGCAGCUUCGGGUUGGAGGAAGUCGGUGAGGGUGUUAAAGAGCGUCGUGUUUCGUCGGCGAAAACUUUGCCUUCCCGCCAAGUGUCGUAUUCUUUCGACGCAUCGGAUAGAGAAAGAAGAUGGAAGGAAGAUAUGUGAAAGAAGAAUAUAGAAGAAAUGGGGCGUAUGGGAGCUACCACGGAGAAGAAUAAGACCAAUUUGUAAACCUAAACUGUAUAUAGUUAUGCUUGAAAAUCGAACAAAUUCUACAUGUACCGAAAAGGAAUUGUAUGCUUUAUUACAGAUUGUUUUUUU
rnacentral:lncRNA from 1 species